GUACUCAAACAGUAUAUUUCACUUUGUGUUUCUAUGGGGGUGCAAACGAUUGAAAUCUUUACUUAAUGUACACUAAACUGAUCUUCUGUAAAAAAAAAAAAAAAGAAAAAGAAAUUAUCAAUUCCCAACUUGACUCUCACUGGGAUUAAACAUGACAAUAGGUCUGAUCUGAUUUCAUCAUCAUUUAAAAAAAAUCAUCUAUUAUUUUUCACUUUAUGUUUCUGUGUGGGAGCAAACUGUUGAAAUCCUUACUUAAGGUAUACUAAGCUGAUCCACUGUUAAUUUUAAUAGAAAAAUAUUUUCAGGUAACUUUAUACUCAAAAUAGUCACUAUUCACUAAGUAAAAAGUUCAACAAAUAGUAUGAAGAAAAUAAAUUGUUUCUCAAAGUGAGACAAGGCUUGUAAAAAAAAGCAUCAUAUCUCAAAAUACUCAUUUUAUUCCUACACAUUAUUACCUGUUAAAUACUCUAUUAGUCACCGCAGAUCAGGGACAACAUGUGGUAUUUGUCUUUUGGGGACUAGCUUAUUUCACUAAGUAUAAUGUUUUCUAGUUAUAUCCAUUUUGUUGCAAAAGACUUCAUUGCAUUUUUUCCUGCUGAAUAGUAUUCCAUAGUGUAUAUAUACCAUAGUUACUUUUUUCAAGAUUCAUUUUUCUGAGAGGCAGAGUUGAGAGAGGGAGAGACAGAGAACGAGAGAUCUUCCAUCUGAGAAUGAGAGGUCUUCCUUCUGGUUCACUCUCUAAAUGGAUGCAAUGGCUAGAACUGGGCUGAUGCAAAGCCAGGAGCCAGGAGCUUCUUUUGGGUCUCCCACGCAGGUGCAAGGGCCCAAGGACUUGGGCCAUCUUCCACUGUUUUCCUAGGCCUUCAUCAGGGAGGAUCCAGGCUUCGAACAGGAACACCUAUGGGAUGCUGGUGCAGCAAGUAGGAGGCUUAACCCACUUUGUGCUGGCCUCCAUAAUUUCUUUAUCUAAUCAUCAUUUGAUAGACAUCUGGAUUGAUUCCAUAUCUUAGCUGUUGUGAAUUGAGCAGCCAUAAACGUGGGUACAGAUAACUCUUUCAUCUGCUGAUUUCAAUUUGUUUAGGUAAAUUCCCAUGAGUGGCAUUGCUGGUUCAUAUGAUUCAUCUAUUUUCAGCCUUUUGAGGUGUCUCCAUACUGUCUUCCACAAUGGCUUCACCAGAUGACAUUCCCAGUGGAUUAGGAAAACGUUUCUUACCUGGAGCACAUCGGAGAUCAACACAGUCUUAGCCCGGAGCCAAGACUGCUGUCACCCACGUUUUUGACGCUGCCUGGCAGCUUCCGGUGCUGCUGUGCUUACUGGGAGGAAGAGGCGGGUCCUAGAUGGCUGGCGCUUGCGCAGUCGGCCUGGUGGAGAGCAAGACGGUAUUAUCUGCUGGUGGCGGCAUGUCGUCGGCUGCCGGAAUUCUCGGCUGAUGGCGGCGUUUUCGGCAGCUGUACUGGCCCAGAGAGUGCGGGAGUGAAGGCUGGCGGCCGUGGGGGCAGGCGGCGGCUCAGCUGUGGGAAGCGGAGAAGCGGGUGGCUGGGCUUGCGCUGGAGGACAGGACUGCGGGUUACAAGACAUUUUCAUGGAUAUGAAAUUGGACACAGAGUUGACACGGAAGUUCAGCUGCUGGGUAAUCUUCCAUUUCUGGGGACUGCUCUGCUUUCUUGUAAAACCCAGCUGUGCCUUCACCCUGGACAGGAGCAACUGGUUAGUAGUACAUGUGGCUGUGUCCUGUUGAUGGCAGCCCUUGGGCCCAAGGAGGAGAGAAGGGAAGGGAAGGGAACCCUGUGCCCUGGGGUUGGGCUGCCAGGCUGACAGCAAAGUGGACUUCCAGACUUUGUGAAGGAAGGUCAAGUGGUGGGAGCCCUAUAUACAUGUGGAGACAGAAAUGUGGGGGUCUAGUGUUCCUAGAAUAGAGGAACCACAGAGACAGAGUUGAAUAAGAUAUUGGCGAAUGAUUUCCCUGGGGCUUUGCCGAGAAUUGUGGGGCAAAGAACAUGCUAAGAAGGGAAGAAUGGUUGUCCAGGCAGUGGGAGGGGAAUCUGGGAGGAAAACUGUCAAAUGUUUAAUCAGAGGAAAAACAUAAGAGUCUGGUUUGGAGAGAUGUGGUAAUAGUUGUUUGGGUUUUAGAUUUUCAGGCUAAGGACGAUGGGAUUGCAAGUACUUCAUGCAGUGGGAGUGGAGGGUUAGAUGCCAUGGAAGAACCUGGGGCGUGCAAGGUUUUGGGAGCUGAAAACAGUUUGUGUCUGUAUGUCACCAUCCUAUGAUAGAAAAAGGAAAAUGGAAGGAUUGUGGGGAGGAAGGCAGGCAACUUUGAGGAGAGUUGUAAUAGGGAAGAGCUGUAAUAGGUCUGCUUGUAAGAACUAGUGGAGUAUCAGAGUGUGAGGUCCAGGAUAGGCCCUGGGGAGAAACCUUACGAAAAGUGAGGGAAGGGAUAUCAGGAGGCGGGCAGAGGGAACUUUCAGGAGGGACUGGGGAAUGGGUGCUGAGUUAAUCAGGAAAUUUGACCAAAGUGUGCAGACUACCAAGAGAUGGAGAAGAUGUUAUCUGAAAGAAAACUGGG